ACGAACGCUGGCGGCGUGCUUAACACAUGCAAGUCGAACGGGCCCGCUCUCUUUUUUGGGGGUGGGUUGAGUGGCGAACGGGUGAGUAUCACGUGAGUAACCUGCCCCCUGCUCCUGGAUAACUGCUUGAAAGGGCGGCUAAUACGGGGUGUGCCGGCUGGUCCGCAUGGGCCUGGUCGGGAUAGUUUCAUCUUCGGGUGUUUCGGUGGGGGAUGGGCUCGCGGCCUAUCAGCUUGUUGGUGGGGUGAUGGCCCACCAAGGCGGUGACGGGUAGCCGGCCUGAGAGGGUGGGCGGCCACACGGGGACUGAGACACGGCCCAGACUCCGGCGGGAGGCAGCAGUGGGGGGUAUUGCACAAUGGGCGGAAGCCGGAUGCAGCGACGUCGCGUGAGGGAUGGAGGCCUUCGGGUGGUGAACCUCUUUCUCCGGUGGUGAAGGCCCUGUCCGUUGCGGCGGGGUUGACGGUAGCCGGGUAUGAAGCGCCGGCUAACUACGUG
rnacentral:rRNA from 1 species